AAGGUAAGCAUUGUAAGUUUGGUAUUUACUAUAUGAAUUAAGGUACUGUUAGUGAUGACCAAUAAAGUUAAACAGAUGGGAAUCUCUCUGAAUAAGAUUGAAGAUUGAUUGUUAAGCUGAAACAGUAUUUAAGAACAUCAGUAAAUAUAGUUUACAAAUACAUAUUUCUAAAUGGAGUGUAAUUUCUUACAGGUAUAACGCACGGGUCGCCUCAAGUGAAGGCACUGCAAACAAAAUGAUUGGUCAUUCUGAAUUUCCGGUCCUUCAUUCUGAAUUUCAAAGUAAGUCUCAGUCACUUGUUUUUGCACAGAUUGUAAUAUAGCUUGUAACCAGUGAUGUGAUGAUUCUGCCAAAUGAUACAAAGUGAUAUC
ensembl:processed_transcript Gas5 growth arrest specific 5